rnacentral:misc_RNA from 1 species
GAUGAAGAACGCAGCGAAAUGCGAUAACUAAUGUGAAUUGCAGAAUUCAGUGAAUCAUCGAGUCUUUGAACGCACAUUGCGCCCCCUGGUAUUCCGGGGGGCAUGCCUGUCCGAGCGUCAUUGCUGCCCUCAAGCACGGCUUGUGUGUUGGGCUCCGUCCCCCCGGGGACGGGCCCGAAAGGCAGCGGCGGCACCGAGUCCGGUCCUCGAGCGUAUGGGGCUUUGUCACCCGCUCUGUAGGCCCGGCCGGCGCCAGCCGACAACCCAUCAUCCUUUUCAGGUUGACCUCGGAUCAGGUAGGGAUACCCGCUGAACUUAAGCAUAUCAAUAAGCGAGGA